rnacentral:rRNA from 1 species
UACGAAGGGGGGCUAGCGUUGCUCGGAAUGACUGGGCGUAAAGGGCGCGUAGGCGGCUUGCACAGUCAGAUGUGAAAUUCCUGGGCUCAACCUGGGGGCUGCAUUUGAUACGUGUAGACUUGAGUGGGGAAGAGGGUCGUGGAAUUCCCAGUGUAGAGGUGAAAUUCGUAGAUAUUGGGAAGAACACCGGUGGCGAAGGCGGCGACCUGGUCCUUGACUGACGCUGAGGCGCGAAAAGCGUGGGGGAGCAAACAGG